rnacentral:rRNA from 1 species
UACGUAGGGUGCGAGCGUGUCCGGAAUUAUUGGGCGUAAAGGGCUCGUAGGCGGUUUGUCGCGUCGGGAGUGAAAUCCACUGGCUUAACUGGUGGCUUGCUUUCGAUACGGGCAGACUGGAGGUAUGCAGGGGGAGAACGGAAUUCCUGGUGUAGCGGGUGAAAAUGCGCAGAUAUCAGGAGGAACACCGGGUGGCGAAGGCGGUUCUCUGGGCAUGUCCUGACGUGAGGAGCGAAAGUGUGGGGAGCGAACAGG